CACAUUUCAACAAGAUAUUUAAGAAACCAUAAUCACUUAGGGAAAGGGAAUUCACAGAGCACCUUGAGAAAACCUAAAGGAAGAGAGAAGCAUGCAGGCUUAAAAGAAAUGCUCCUGCCACUUCUGCCACCGCCCCCCACCAAGCCCAGGCUGCCCCUCAGACAGGUUGAUCAACUCCAGGAAGGAAAUGGCCACCGUCCAGACGGAUGGGGCUACAGGCCCAUGCACAGAGUUCCUUUCCUCUGGUGUGAUAUGGGAGCGACAGUCACCAGGCAUCCCAGCUGUAUCCUGUGUGUACUGAUGUCAAAGACCAAAUGGAUGCCCCUGUGGCCAACAGUACCUUGUUAAACCCCAUGAUUGCAGUCCAGUGCUAAGGAAGGGGGGAACCCCCCAGGAACAACCAUCAUUAUGUUUUUUAUCUGACUGAAUAGAAGUUCAGAGUUAGAAAAUGUGAAAAGCUAUAUAUUUUUGCACACCCAGUUUGUGGGCUACGCGCAUCAUGAAGUGGUAGAUUCUACUGUUCUGUCUUGUUAGCCCAAAGCUGUAAAGAAGGCUGUUAUUGCAAACUACAGACAACGCACUUGGUAGAAAGCAGCAACAUCCUGAAUUCUGGUCUUGCAAGGACAUACCCAAACAACAGCAGCGACCCACCCACCUCAGGACCCAGUUCUCAGCCUCUGUGUGGCUGGCUUUUAAAGCUAAGAAAAGCCGGUAGGAAUGUAGAAAUCCAGUGAGAAGAAAGCCAUGGACGCUUCUGAGCACCCUGUGAGUAGCUAGGAGCAACAUGUUCCCAGGUCCUGAAACUUCCACAGUAAUAAGUCUGGCAGCGGUGGUGUCAUGCCGGGGAUGGAGCAUGUGAGCUUGAGACACCUUGUUCCUACUUUCUACAAGGCCAUAAUAAUCAUCCUAUUAGGCCUCAGCGCAUUUCCCACAGGGGCCCUGGUGGGCUUGUGUGGCAGUGACAUUUGACACAACCAUUAUUAUUUUUUGGAUGCAUUUGGAACACGCUGGUAGUUCUAUUGUAUUAAAGAAACAUGGAAAUAAAUUCGUCUCAGAAAAAAGAUCAAACCAUGAAGUCACACAGAAAAAGGAAUGGACCAGAAUGUUCUGUGUUGCGCUUGGUGCUGAUUCCUGA
rnacentral:lncRNA from 10 species